rnacentral:rRNA from 1 species
UACGUAGGGUGCAAGCGUUGUUCGGAAUUACUGGGCGUAAAGGGCGCGUAGGCGGGCUCGUAUGUCGAUUGUGAAAGCCCUGGGCUUAACCCGGGAAUGGCAGUCGAAACUGCGAGUCUUGAAUGCUUGAGAGGAUGGCGGAAUUCCCGGUGUAGAAGUGAAAUUCGUAGAUAUCGGGAAGAACACCAGUGGCGAAGGCGACUUCCUGGCCUGUUCUUGACGCUGAGGCGCGAAAGCUAGGGUAGCAAACGGG